rfam:Enterococcus italicus DSM 15952 genomic scaffold SCAFFOLD1, whole genome shotgun sequence.
UUUUUCAUAAUUAGAGUUACUUAUAUAUCGUCGUAAUUGGUCGACAGUUUCUACCUGAUACCGCAAAUAUCGGACUAUAAGUAAAAAAGGCUUUUUU